rnacentral:rRNA from 1 species
AUGCCCAAGCGGACGACCCACACGUACUCGAGCGAGGACGCGCUGCCGGAGGGCCCCGAGUCCGACCUCUUCGUCUACUACUGCAAGCACUGCGCCUCCCACGUCCUCAUCACUGAUACCCUAUUGCAGAAAAUGCCAAAGAGGAAGACCGACCGAGCACAUGUUCUAGAUAAGGCAAAGCAUCUUGCGAGGCUAAAUGUGAAAGAUGCAGGAAAAAUCUUGUUGAAACGUGGAGAAGGAAAACUCGAAAAGCAGUUUCGCAUGACCUGCGUGGGAUGCGACCUUUUUGUUUGCUACCGAUCGGAGGAAGAUUUGGAGCUUGCUCCUUAUAUAUAUGUUGUUGAUGGAGCACUGAGUUCGGUGGCGGCUGAGACAAAUCCACAUGAUGCGCCUGUACCCCCUUGCAUAACACAGUUGCAAGGUGGACUUGUCCAAGUUGCCAUUGAAGUAGAAGACCGAGCACAACGUUCAGCAAUAACAAGAGUGAACGCUGACGAUGUUCGAGUAGCAGUAGCUGCCCCUGCUGCUCGGGGGGAGGCCAACAACGAGUUGCUAGAAUUUAUGGGAAAGGUGCUUGGCUUAAGAUUGAGUCAGAUGACCCUUCAAAGGGGAUGGAAUAAUAAAUCAAAGCUUCUGAUUGUUGAGGAUUUGUCUGCGCGGCAAGUUUAUGAGAAGCUCCUAGAAGCUGUCCAGCCAUAG